ACGAACGCUGGCGGCGUGCUUAACGCAUGCAAGUCGAGCGGUAAGGCCUUUCGGGGUACACGAGCGGCGAACGGGUGAGUAACACGUGGGUGAUCUGCCCUGCACUUCGGGAUAAGCCUGGGAAACUGGGUCUAAUACCGGAUAUGACCUCCUAUCGCAUGGUGGGUGGUGGAAAGAUUUAUCGGUGCAGGAUGGGCCUGCGGCCUAUCAGCUUGUUGGUGGGGUAAUGGCCUACCAAGGCGACGACGGGUAGCCGACCUGAGAGGGUGACCGGCCACACUGGGACUGAGACACGGCCCAGACUCCUACGGGAGGCAGCAGUGGGGAAUAUUGCACAAUGGGCGGAAGCCUGAUGCAGCGACGCCGCGUGAGGGAUGACGGCCUUCGGGUUGUAAACCUCUUUCAGCAGGGACGAAGCGCAAGUGACGGUAGGUACAGAAGAAGCACCGGCUAACUACGU
rnacentral:rRNA from 1 species